rnacentral:rRNA from 1 species
UACGGAGGGGGCUAGCGUUGUUCGGAAUUACUGGGCGUAAAGCGCACGUAGGCGGCUUUGUAAGUUAGAGGUGAAAGCCCAGGGCUUAACCCUGGAAUUGCCUUUAAGACUGCAUCGCUAGAAUCGUGGAGAGGUAAGUAGAAUUCCGAGUGUAGAGGUGAAAUUCGUAGAUAUUCGGAAGAACACCAGUGGCGAAGGCGACUUACUGGACACGUAUUGACGCUGAGGUGCGAAAGCGUGGGGAGCAAACAGG